rnacentral:rRNA from 1 species
CGGAGGAAAAGAAACUAACAAGGAUUCCCCUAGUAACGGCGAGUGAAGCGGGAAGAGCACAAAUUUAAAAUCUACCUGGUUUCCAGGUCGAGUUGUAAUUUGAAGAUACGUUUUUGACGUUCCGGGUUGAACUAAAUCCUUUGGGAUAAGGUAUCAUGGAGGGUGAGAAUCCCGUAUAUACCAACCRUAGGGAUGUUAUUUAAUACGUUUCUAAGAGUCGAGUUGUUUGGGAAUGCAGCUCUAAAUGGGUGGUAAAUUUCACCUAAUGCUAAAUAUAAGCGAGAGACCGAUAGYGAACAAGUACAGUGAUGGAAAGAUGAAAAGAACUUUGAAAAGAGAGUUAAAUAGUACGUGAAAUUGUUGAAAGGGAAACGAUUGAAGUCAGUCAUGCCNGUGGGAAUCAACUUWGAGGAAACUCUGAGUGCACUUCUUCGCUUGGCAGGUCAACGUCGAUUUUGGAUGUCAUAAAAUGAUUGGGGGAAGGUAGCYCYUUCGGGAGUGUUAUAGCCCUUGGUAGAUGUGAUGUCUGGGAUCGAGGAUUGCAAUGGAUACCCUUUGGGGCUAGCCGCCUGAUCUCUAAUNGGUAUUGGGUUACGGAUAGCAUGCUGACCGUGAUCUAAUUAUUGGUUAAAAGGUUAGAGCGUGCAUAAAUUCAUUAAGGACGCUGACGUAAUGGCUUUAAACGACCCGUCUU